GACGAACGCUGGCGGCGUGCUUAACACAUGCAAGUCGAACGGAAAGGCCCUGCUUUUGUGGGGUUCUCGAGUGGCGAACGGGUGAGUAACACGUGAGUAACCUGCCCUUGACUUUGGGAUAACUUCAGGAAACUGGGGCUAAUACCGGAUAGGAGCUCCUGCUGCAUGGUGUUGGUUGGAAAGUGUCGGCGGUUGUGGAUGGACUGGCGGCUUAUCCGCUGGUUGGGGUGGUAGUGGCUUACCAAGGCUUUGACGGGUAGCCGGCCUGAGAGGGUGACCGGCCACAUUGGGACUGAGAUACGGAGCAGAAGCGUACGGGAGGCAGCAGUGGGGAAUAUUGCGGAAUGGGCGGGAGCGUGAGGCAGAAGCGCCGCGUGCGGGAUGACGGCCUUCGGGUUGAAAACAGAUUUCGAAUGUGACGAAGAGUGAGUGACGGUAAUGGGUAAAGAAGCACCGGCUAACUACGUG
rnacentral:rRNA from 1 species